rnacentral:rRNA from 1 species
UACAGAGGGUGCAAGCGUUAAUCGGAAUUACUGGGCGUAAAGCGUGCGUAGACGGUUACAUAAGUCGGGUGUGAAAGCCCCGGGCUCAACCUGGGAAUUGCAUUCGAGACUGCGUAGCUAGGGUACGGUAGAGGGAAGCGGAAUUUCCGGUGUAGCGGUGAAAUGCGUAGAUAUCAGGAGGAAUACCGGUGGUGUAGACGGCUCUCUGGACCGCCACUGACGCUGAGACACGAAAGCGUGGGUAGCAAACAGG